CUAAUGGGAGCUUAGAGAAGUGGUUGUACUCCCACAACUACUACUUGGAUUUUGUCCAACGAUUGAAAAUUAUGAUAGAUGUGGCAUCAGGGUUAGAGUAUCUCCAUCAUUAUUAUUCAAAUCCUGUGGUUCACUGUGACUUGAAGCCUAGCAAUGUCUUGUUAGAUGAUGACAUGGUUGCACACAUAAGUGAUUUCGGCAUUGCAAAACUGUUGAUGGGAAGUGAGUUUAUGAAGCGAACCAAAACCUUGGGCACCGUAGGCUAUAUGGCACCAGGUAAAGUUUCCUACCAUUUCAACACAUUCUUAUGUCAUUUUUUCUCUCUCUCAACUAGUUGGUUUUCCAUUUGACCAAGAAGCAAUAUUUGGCAUAAAAGUUUUACAUAAUGAACAACUAAUAUUACAUGCAGGGAGUAGGUUAGAGGAUAAGUUAUUGUAAGUAUUCAAGGUUUUUUAAAUUGUUUUCAAUCUUUUGAAAAAUGGAGAGAUAGUCAUUGGCUCUUUACAAACAUCUUACAUGAUCUUUUUUGACCUCUUGAUACUUAAUUAAUAUUUUUUAACAAGAAGAUCGUUUUUUUAUUAAUUAUUUAUCUUUCUCCAUAUUACUAUUUCUUUGUUCAUUUUACUAAUCGAAACUAAUAAGUAUGCAGAGUAUGGCUCAGAGGGAAUAGUAUCCACAAAAGGUGAUAUAUAUAGUUAUGGGAUCCUGUUGAUGGAAACUUUUGUGAGGAAGAAGCCUACAGAUGAAAUGUUCGUGGAGGAACUAACCUUGAAGAGUUGGGUGGAGUCAUCAACCAACAACAUAAUGGAGGUUAUAGAUGCCAAUCUCCUGACAGAAGAGGAUGAAAGUUUUGCCUUAAAACGAGCUUGUUUUUCUUCUAUCAUGACAUUAGCUCUGGAUUGUACGGUUGAGCCUCCUGAGAAGAGGAUUAACACGAAAGAUGUGGUGGUUAGACUCAAAAAGCUUCUGAAUCAAAUUGAUGUUUUAAGAACUCCAUAAUUAAGAAGAAGGCAUGGAGAUCACAUCACUUUCUUCCACCCUGAGCUUGUUUAAGAGUUUACAAAUCAUGAACUAAGGGACCAUUGGGCAUGGUCUGCUAGGUAUUGAAAGUUCCUUAUUAUAUCACCUUUAUACAAAUCAUUUUGUAUGCUUUUAUUUAAUUUUUUUCCAUUGGGAUAAUAUUAAGUGAAGAUACUUAAUGAAUGACUUCCAGAAGAACAUUUCGUACUUCUCUUUUUAAGAUACGGUAGAUUCUACUACAAUAAAUUAUUUGGCUAUGAUUGAUCAUUUCAGCAAAUUGUCUUGUCAAAAUCGACCUCUAUUUGUAGAUAUAUUUUACUUAAUUUGUUAUAACUUGCAAUUACUUAAUUUCUAGAUUGGUCUCACUGGUGUAACGGCUGCUGCUUGCUGCUGUACUUCAGAAGUUGUUGCACUUCCAAAGUGAGGUAGUUUGUUAGAUUUUGCACCAGGCUUGACCCGAGGUUAGCUCUUUUGUCCUUUUGGAAAACUGCACCGCAGCUGUCCCUUCCUGACCGGCUCAACCCCCUUCUCCAAAAGAGGUUGAGGGUGUCUUGUCCCUUUCGGGAUCACCACACAGGGUUUACCCACCAAUUACUUUGUUCUUUCUUCAUUCUUCCUACAUUUCUCCAAUUCCGUUAUGACAUGCAGAUGCUUGUUGCAUUGUUUUGAGUGUGUCCAGCUGGAGACAGUUGCAGCAGCUCCGGUCAUAAUUCAUGCUUUCAGUGAUGUGUAGGAAAUAUCAAACUUCAUGUUUGGUCAUGCAGAAAAUGACAGCUGAAUUAUAAUUUUUAUGGGAGUUAGAAAAGUCUUGCUUCUUUGAUGAUUAUCCAAAGAUUCAAUCAUGAAAUGCAGAAAAUGUAAAUCUUCAUGUAUAUAGGUUUGGAACUUAUUUCUUUAGAAAAUAUAUGAAUCUUCAACAAUCCCUAAUUUCACACCCAUAUCAAUGAUGUGCAUGCCCCAUUCAUAUGUAUUACAACCAUCCGCAAUAUAUAUCACAUUCAAACAAAAAUAUUCUUAUAGAAUUGAUAUUGACUCUAAAUAUUUGAUCAAAUAUUCCACUACUUAGAUCAAAACUCAAUGGCAAAAACAAUGAAGGAUAGAAAUUAAAAAAUAAAAAAUAAAAUUAUUUUUAUAUAAAAUGAAAUAAAAAUACCUUUGAAGCUCUUCAUGUAAUGGGUUUGGAGUUAUUUAUUAGUUCUUCAUCGAUUGAUUUCUUCCAUGUUGUCUAGAAUAUGUACUAGAGAUAGCUCAAAACACCCAUAAUCAUAUACAAAGAAAGAGGAGCGAUAUAGCAUCUUUUAGCAAAUUUUUGCUUGCAAAAUGGGGAUUGGUAGUUGAAAAUUUUAUUAUUAUUGAUCUACCAUUUCCAAGCAAAAUCAUCAAAACCUUCGAAAUGUGAUUAUUUUUUCAUUAAAGGGUUGUCAAAUUUCUUGUUAAUAAAGUUUCACAAAAGAUAAGAAAAUAAAAUUAUAAGGUAUAAUAUAUGUACUUUUUAAUAAUAAUAAUAAUAAUAAUAAUAAUAAUAAUAAUAAUAAUAAUAAUAAUAAUAUUUGUAUUUUGUCUAUCGUUAUAUAUAUAUAUUAGAUGUUCUUUAAGUAUAGGAAUAUUCUUAUUGCUUUUAUAAUAAUAUAUAAGAACAUUAGAAAAAAAAUAGUUAAUGAUGUAUUUUUUGACAAAUGUAAUAAUCAUAAUUUCAUAUUUGAAACUACCAACAACAUAAUGAGAUUCAACAUCUAUAAAAUUUAUAGGAUUUAUGUUAGGAUUUAUAACAUAAUCUAAUUAUAUUUAUAUGUUAGCAUGAGCAAAUUACAAAUAAAUUAUUUAGUUGAGUAAAUUACAAUAGAUAUGAUAUUUUAUAUCAAAAGAUAAUUUUUACUAAUGAAUACAUUAACUAUAUAAUAUUGGAAAAGAACAUUGAAAUUUUUUAAUAGAAUGAGUGUAGGGUUAAAUUAAAUUCAAUACAUUGAACUAUCAUACCAAAUGCUUUUCACUUUGAUUGAUUUAGCAAUUAUUAUAAAGCUUAUAAUUUUUAGAAAAUAAGAAAAUAAAUUUUAAAAAUCAUUCACAAAAGGUAGAUAGCUCUAUUUGCAAGUGGGGUUUUGUCUACCGUGGCAUGUGGACUACGGCACCGUGAUAGCCCACUCUUCACUGCACCAGGCUUGACUCGAGGCUAGCUCUUUUGUCCCUUUUGGAAAGCUGCGCCGUAGCUGCCGCCCCUUCUUGGCCGGCUUAACCCACUUCUCCAGAAGCGGUUGAGGGUGUUCUUGUCACUUUAGGGACCACCACACAGGGGUUACCCAGCAAUUACUUUGUUCUUUCUUCAUUCUUCCUACAUUGCUCCAAUUGCAUUAUGACAUAUGCAAAUGCUGUAGAAUUGUUGAAUAUGGUUGUAAUUCAUAUUUAUUACAACCAUGGUUAUAUAUAUCACAUUCAAAACACCCUCAAUCAUAUACAAAGAAAGAGAAGCGAUAUGGCAUCUUUUAGCAAAUUUUUGCUUGCAAAAUGGGGAUUGGUAGUUGAAAAUUUUAUUAUUAUUGAUUUACCAUUUCCAAGUAAAAUCAUCAAAACCUUCUAAAUGUGAUUAUUAUUUCAUUAGAGGGUUGUCAAAUUUCUUGUUAAUAAAGUUUCACAAAAGAUACGAAAAUAAAAUUAUAAGGCAUAAUAUAUGUACUUUUUAAUAUUAUUAUUAUUAUUAUUAUUUGUAUUUUGUCUAUCAUUAUCUAUAUAUAUAUAUUGAUAAUUUAUUUAAAGUUAUAAAUUUGUUAAUAUUAUUACAUAGUUAUGGAUUUCUUUAAUAUAAUAUGCUAGAUGUUCUUUUGAGUAAAGGAAUAUUGUUACUGCUUUUAUAAUCAUAAUUUCAUAUUUGAAACUACCAACAACAUAAUGAGAUUUGACAUCUAUAAAAUUUAUAGGAUUUAUAACAUAAUCUAAUUAGAUUUAUAUGUUUAAUUUACAUGAGCAAAUUACAAAUAAAUUAUUUAGUUGAGUAAAUUACAAUAGAUAUGAUAUUUUAUAUCAAAAGAUAAUUUUUACCGAUGAAUACUUUAACUAUAUAAUAUUGGAAAAGAACAUUGAAAAUUAUUAAUAGACUGAGUGUAGGGUUAAUUUUGUAAAAUAAAUUAUUUUUAGUCUUUAAUGACUUUCAUUAUCAAAGAGUUAAAUUAAAUUCAAUACAUUGAACUAUCAUACCAAAUGCUUUUCACUUUGAUUGGUUUAGCAAUUAUUAUAAAGCUUAUAAUUUUUAGAAAAUAAGAAAAUAAAUUUUAAAAAUCAUUCACAAAAGGUAGACAGCUCUAUUUGCAAGUGGAGUUUUGUCUAGGGUAGCUCUUUUGUCCCUUUUGGAAAACUGCACCGUAGCUGUUGCCCCUUCUUGUGUUAAGGGUGUUCUUGUCACUUUAGGGACCACCACACAGGGGUUACCCAACAAUUACUUUAAUAUGUCUAACGAGAGACAGUUGCUGCAGCUCUAGUCAUAGUCCAUGCAUUCCAUGAGGUGUAGGAAAUACCAAACUUUGUGUUUGGUCAUGUAGAAAAUGACUGGAUUUAUAAUUUUUAUGGGAGUUGGAAAAGUCUUGUUUCUUUGAUGAUUAUCCAAUGAUUCAAUCAGGACAAGCAGAAAAUGUAAAUCUUCAUGUAUAUAGGUUUGGAAGUUAUUUCUUCAGAAAAUAUAAAUAUUCAUGUAUAUAUGAAUCUCCAACAAGCUCUAAUUUCACCCCUAUAAAUUCGAUAUUUCACUCCCAUAAUUUGUGUCAUGCUCCCAUAUUAUAUUACUCUUCUCCAAUAAUCACUUAUUCUGCUUUAUUAAUUCCACUCCAAUAUCUCUUAAUUUCACUUUCAAGGACAAAGUUAUAAAUCUUCUAUUCUAUUAAUUUAUAUCAUGAUCUAAUUGCUUCGUGUCCUUAGUCACAUUGCUUUGUACCCUUGAUCACAUUGCUUUGUAGUGAGGUUUCAUUUCUUCAUGUUUUUGUCCCAGAUGGUUGAUCAUACCGUAGUUCCUUUUGCUUUGCAUCCCCAUUGUUGGUACAAAUCAAAUAAAUAAGCUAUACUCAACUGUCAAUGGUGUGCACCCAAUUCAUUUGUAUUACAACCAUAUGCUAUAUAUCACAUUCAAAUGGAAGUAUUCUUAUAGAAUUGAUAUUGGUGUUAAACACUUGACCAAAUGUUUCAUUAUUUAGACCAAAGCUCAAUAGCAAAAACAAUGAAGGAUAAAUUAUUAGAUAAGGUAGACUUUAGGAUUUUAAUUGAGCUAAAAUAUUUUUAUUAGAUUAUUAAAAACCGGAUACAUGCUCAAACCUAGAUGUUAAAAUAAUUUAUUAAAUUAUUAAACAGAUUAAAUAGAUUGAAUUAUCCAAAAAAGAAAGAGUAGCAUCGGAAAGUGUGACUACCAAGUCAAUAACCAAUGGUUAUCAUUCUGGAUGGGACUGCAUUGAAGCCCUUUUUCACCUCCUAGGACAUCUUUUUCCAGAAAAAGUUGUUGCUCACGAAUUACUUGAUAGACGUUAAGAUCAGUCACAGCUUCUCACUGGUCUCACUGGUGUAACGGCUGCUGCUUGCUGCUGUACUUCAGAAGUUGUUGCACUUCUUUGUUAGACUUUGUUAGAUUAGUUAGGCUGUUACACAAUGGAAAAUUCUGCGGUACGGAAGUGGGUACGGUACCUGCAAAAUUCCCUUUGCACCACUUGAUUAGCUGAACUGCCCCAUCGUAUUGCCUCUUCUUGAAUACGCUUUGCUUGAUCAACUUUUCAGGUUUCUUUCUCCGUUUUGGUAGGACUGCACUGUCGUUGCCCCUGCUUGCCCUCCGUGACCCACUUUUUUCCAAGGAGGUGGUUUUCGACCAUUUUCUUUCUUCUUGAAUACACCAUUAGAUCUUUUGUCUUGACCCGAGGUUAGCUCUUUUGUCUUUUUGGAAAAAACUGCACCGCAGCUGUCCCUUCUUGACCGGCUCAACCCACUUGUCCAAAAGAUGUUGAGGGUGUCUUGUCCCUUCAGGGAUCACCACACAGGUUUUACCCGGCAAUUACUCUGUUCUUUCUUCAUUCUUCCUAUAUUUCUCAAAUAGCAUUAUGACAUGCAAAUGCUUGUUGAAUUGUUUUGAGUAUGUCCAACUAGAGACAGCUGCAGCAGCUCUGGUUAUAAUCCAUGCUUGCCUUGGAAGGUGAUUGAGUUGCAAUUUCAAGGUAGUAGGUAUUGACCACCAAAAACGGUUUGAAAUUUUGUUAUCAAAGGCUUGCCUUGGAAGGUGAUUGAGUUGCAAUUUCAAAGCCAACCUGAAAACCCCAUAAUUUCAAGGUAGUAGGUAUUGAUCACUUCUUGUCACUCACUUGGCAAAUAUUAAUUUCCAUGUAAACUCUCCAGUUCCUACCAUGCUUGGUAGAACAAAUCAAAAUAUUUCUGUCCAUAAUUUCAAGGUAGCAGGUAUUGACCACAAAAAACGGUUUGAAAUUUUGUUAUCACAAGGUUUUCCUUGGAAGGUGAUUGAGUUGCAAUUUCAAAGCUAACCUGAAAACCCCAUAAUUUCAAGAUAGUAGGUAUUGACCACUUCUUGUCAUUCACUUAGAAAAUAUUAAUUUCCAUGUAAACUCUCCAGUUCCUACCAGGCCUGGUAGAACAAAUCAAAAUAUUUCUGUCAUAAGUAUUUCAUUUUACGAAUAAAAAUGAUUAACAUGUUUUGAAAAAUCUUCAAGUCUUUCGCCAACGCUCUCUUUUAGAAUUAAUGUUAUGCUUUAAAUUUGGUUACAUUUCUUUAAACAGUACGGAUUUUCUCUCUUACAUUAAUUAGAAAAAGUAUGAUUUUUCUUUGUAAAUUAGCAUUACAGUGUAGUGCCACUUUAACGUGAUAUAGAUACGAAAAAUGAUAAAUCAUUUAUUUGAAUUUUCUUUAACGUGAUAUAGAUACACAAUAGACUGUCGUUGCCCCUGCUUGCCCUCCGUGACCCACUUUUUUCCAAGGAGGUGGUUUUCGACCAUUUUCUUUCUUCUUGAAUACACCAUUAGAUCGUGAUAUGUGGACAGCUCUAUAUGCAAAUUGAGUUUUGUCUCCUGUGGAAUGUGGAAUGUGGACUACAGCACCGUGAUAACCCACUCUUCACUGCACCAGGCUUGACCCGAGGUUAGCUCUUUUGUCUUUUUGGAAAAAACUGCACCGCAGCUGUCCCUUCUUGACCGGCUCAACCCACUUGUCCAAAAGAUGUUGAGGGUGUCUUGUCCCUUCAGGGAUCACCACACAGGUUUUACCCGGCAAUUACUUUGUUCUUUCUUCAUUCUUCCUAUAUUUCUCAAAUAGCAUUAUGACAUGCAAAUGCUUGUUGAAUUGUUUUGAGUAUGUCCAACUAGAGACAGUUGCGGCAGCUCUGGUUAUAAUCCAUGCUUUCAAUGAUGUGUAAGAAAUAUCUAACUUUAUGUUUGGUCAUGCAGAAAAUGACACUUGAAUUAUAAUUUUUAUGGGAGUUUGAAAAGUCUUGCUUCUUUGAUGGUUAUCCGAAGAUUCAAUCAUGAAAUGCAGAAAAUGUAAAUCUUUAUGUAUAUAUGAAUCUCCAACAAUCCCUAAUUUGGCACCCAUGUCAAUGGUGUGUGUACCCCAUUCAUAUGUAUUACGACCAUCUGCUAUAUAUAUAUCACAUUCAAAUGGCAAAAACAAUGAAGGAUAGAAAUUAAAAAAUAAAAUAAAAUUAUUUUAUAUAAAAUGAAAUAAAAUACCUUUGAAGCUCUUCAUGUAUAUAGGUUUGGAGUUAUUUAUUGCUUCUUCAUGGACUGGAUUUCUUCUAUAUUGUCUAGAAUAUAUACUAGAGACAACUCAAAACACCCACAAUCAUAUACAAAGAAAGAGUAGAGAUAUGGCAUCUUUUAGCAAAUUUUUGCUUACAAAAUUUUGAAAAAAAAAAAAAACAAACAUGCUUAUUUUUUGUUUUAUUUUUAAGAUUCAACAGACUUGAUUUUCAAAGCAUAUAAUAAAUUUGUUUUUGAGAAAAUAAAUGUCCUUACCCUAUUAAUUAUUUCAAAAGACAUUUUCUAAAAGUAUAAUGUUUUCGAAAAUUUUCAAGUUUUUCAUGAAUUUUUUUUUUCAUGAGUAAUGUUACAUUUUGGAUUUGGCUAGUUAAAUACAUACUAUCACUAUUUCUCUCUUUCUAAAUUAAUUGAAAAAAGUGGACUAGAAAAAGCACCAUUUUCCUUUCUAAUUAGCAUGCACGACCAAUAGUAUAGUCACUCCAUUCAUCUAUCUACCUACCUAUCUUUAUAUAAUGUCAUGUUAUACAAUGAACUUGUAAAAUGAGUGGAGAAGAUCUCCAGAAUGUAAUUAAGAUGGCAAAUUCCAAGCAUAAGAUUAAUGGAUUUAUUUUGAAUGCAAUCAUGGUUGAGUUGUAAUUAUAUCAAAAUUGUUAAAUAAAUUUAUUAAAUUAACUAUUAAAUAGGUUACAAUCUUCUAAAAAAGGAUAGAGUAGCAUAGGAAGUGAGACUACCAAGUCAAUAACCAAUGCUUUUGGACCCACUUAUAUAGUUCCAUGGUUGUCACUUUGGAUGGGACUGCAUUGAAGCCUUUGUUCACCUCUUUCACAGUUUCUUCCAAGAAGGUUGUUGCCCACCAAUUACUCUCCCUUCCUUAUCCCCUACAUUUGUAAACCACAUCCUCUCCUUCAACCUUUAUCAACAACCUUUUUUUCUUGCUCUCUCAAAGGAAAGAUGCAUCUCUUUUCACCUUAUGUUUUAGUGUUUGUUUUAGUGCAUUGUUGGGUGGCUUACUUCACUCCCAAAGUAUUCUCCAUCAAUUUAGUUGAUGAAUUUGCUCUUAUGGCCUUGAAAGCCCAUAUCACAUAUGAUUCCCAAGGCAUUUUGGUAACAAAUUGGUCAACCAAAAGCUCCUACUGCACUUGGUAUGGUAUUUCUUGCAAUGCUCCUCAGCAAAGAGUUUCUGCAAUCAACCUCUCUAACAUGGGUCUUGAAGGAACUAUUGCGCCACAAGUCGGCAACCUCUCAUUUCUUAUUUCUCUUGAUCUUAGCAAUAACUACUUCCAUGCCUUUCUUCCUAAGGAAAUUGGUAAGAUUCUUAUAAUUUUUGUCUACUUUAUAGGUUAUCAUAAUUUUUGGCUUUCAAUCGUAAUGAAAUAGUUGAGUAAUUGAUAAAUUAUAGUUCCAAAAAUAAUAUUGAUAUAUUUGGUAGAUUGGAUUGUUGAAUUAUUAUGACCAUGAAUAAUAACUAAAAUAGGAAUGAUACAACUUUAACUUAUUCUCUUUAUUUUGAUAUAAAAUUCAUUUUAAUUAAAUAAAUCAUUUUACAAUUUAAAAAUUAGUUUUAUUUUUUUAAUUCCCUAUUUUUUUUUUCUUUUUUUGAAUGAAUUCAAGUAAACACAAUUAUAGUAAUGGUAAUGAUUUUUUAUUCUAAUUUUUAGAAUGAACAAUACCAAAUACAAAUCAGAAUAAACAUACACAACGGUAAUAAAAAGUUUCAAUUGACAGAGUAUUUUUCUUUUUAAGUUAUAACAUUAAAUAAUUUAUUUAUAGUGAUAUCUUACAAUUGAUAGAUAAUUUCAAAUAUAGAAAAUUUUGAUCCAACAAAUUAUAUUAUAAAAAAGUCAACAUAAUUUAAUGUAAUAUAUUAUACAUUAAAAUGUAAUAAAAUAUUUAAUAGAUAUCAAAUAAUUUCAUCUAUACACACACAUACACACACACACACAUAUAUAUAUAUAUAUAUAUAUAUAAUAUUUAUUUGUGAUAAACAAUAGUGGAUAAUUUUUUUGUUAACAUUCCCAAUAAAAAAAAAAUAUCAAUUAUUUAUUAUAUUCUAUCUAAUACUCAACAUUUGUGUUAAGUGUAUAGUUAAUUUCACAAAUUAUUAUUAUAAAUUAAGAAACAUCAUUGUACACACAAUUCAAACCAUCGUAUAGGUUCCAAAUUGUAUUCCAUCAAACCAAAAUGCACUACCCUUAAAUGCUUGGAACUAUCAAUAUGUGGUUCAUGAUAAGUUUUCCUCAAUAUUAGUGUCACUUGCAAAUGUUAUCAUCAUGUUUGAUUCCGUGAAAGUACUAAGAAAAAAAUAUUGAAAGAAAUUAUUUUCUUAUAUUUGAUUUUACUAUAAAAAUAUGAAAAAAAUCAAAUAUAAUUAAAAUUAAUCUAUUUUUAAAUAGAAAAUUUAAAACAAGUGAAAGGAGCCUGAUUAUGUUUGGUUCCCAAAAAGUUUUAGUGACAAUACAAGGGAAAAAAAAUAAAGAGUUUCUUUGAAGAAAAGAAAAAGUGAAAACAAUAAAAUAAAUAAAUAAAUUUGAAGUUAAUAAAUUAUUUUUAUAUGAUCAUUCACAUUCAUUUAAAAUUAAAAAAAAAGAUUUAAAUUUAAUAAAUUAAUUUUAUAUGUUUCUUCAUAUUUAUUUACUUAUUUUAAUUCUUCCAUACGAAGAUAUACUAAUUUGAAAAUAAAUAAAAUUCUAAUUAAUUUUAAUUCUCUUUUAUUUUCUUUCGUAUUUUCUACAUAAAACCAACAAUAAGAAAAUUAUUUUCCUUUAAUAUUUUCUUUUCUUUCUUUAAUACUCUUCUCAACCUAACAUAGUUUUUAUGUUCAUAAUAAUAAUAAUAUUUUAGAUAUUUUUUCAUUUUAUUUUAGGUAAGUGCAAGGAGCUUCAACAGUUGAAUUUAUUCAACAAUAAUCUGGUUGGAAGCAUUCCAGAAGCCAUUUGUAAUUUAUCAAAACUUGAAGAGCUGUAUCUUGGCAACAAUAAGUUGGCUGGUGAAAUUCCAAAGAAGAUGAGUGAUCUUCUUAAUCUGAAGAUAUUGUCAUUCCCAAUGAACAACUUAACAGGUUCCAUACCAGCCACUAUUUUCAACAUAUCUUCUUUGCUCAAUAUUAGUCUCUCCUAUAAUAGUCUCUCUGGGAAUCUUCCCAUGGUUAUGUGCAAUACCAAUCCAAAGCUCAAGGAGCUUAAUCUUUCAUCAAAUCACCUGAGUGGAGAGAUCCCCACCAGUUUAAGCCAAUGUAUAAAGCUUCAAGUAAUUUCCUUAUCAUAUAAUGAAUUCACGGGAAGCAUACCAAAAGGAAUUGGUAACUUGGUGGAGCUUCAGAGAUUGUCUUUCAGGAAUAAUAACUUGAUAGGUACACUUUUUUUUCCUUUCUUUUCUUCCUUUUUAUUCGCUCACUUUCUCUCAAGCUUUCAAAGAUGUAAGCAAUGCAUUGAAGUUUUUCCAACCCACUCAUUUUAAUUUUCUUGCAGGAGAAAUACCUCAAUCACUGUUCAACAUAUCUUCAUUGAGGUUUUUGAAUCUGGCAGCCAAUCAACUCGAAGGUGAAAUCCCCUCCAACUUGUCGCAUUGUCGAGAGCUCCGAGUACUAUCAUUAUCAUUAAAUCAGUUUACUGGAGGCAUUCCACAAGCCAUAGGGAGUUUAUCGAAUCUUGAAGAAUUAUAUCUUGGUUAUAACAAUUUGGGAGGUGGAAUUCCUAGCGAGAUUGGGAAUCUUCAUAAUUUAAAUAUUUUGAACUUCGAGUCUGCUAGACUAAGUGGUCCUAUUCCUGCCCAAAUUUUCAACAUCUCUUCGUUGCAAGUUAUUGCUUUUAGUAAUAAUAGCCUUUCUGGGAGUCUUCCAAUAGAUAUCUGCAAACAUCUUCCUAAUCUCCAAAGGCUCCACCUUUCUUGGAAUCAGCUCAGUGGCCAACUUCCUACAACCCUGUCCUUAUGUGGAGAGCUUCUGUCACUGUCACUAUAUUACAACAAAUACGCAGGAAGCAUAAUAAGAGAAAUUGGCAACUUAUCCAAGCUUGAACAGAUUUAUCUUGGGAGGAAUAACUUCACAAGUACCAUUCCACCUUCAUUUGGUAAUUUAACUGCCAUACAGGAGCUUGGAUUGGAGGAAAACAAUUUUCAAGGUAAUAUCCCCAAGGAGUUGGGGAAACUCAUCAACUUACAAAUAUUGCAUCUUGGCCAAAACAAUCUAACGGGGAUUGUACCAGAAGCUAUUAUCAACAUCUCUAAGCUGCAGGUCCUUUCGCUAUCACUAAAUCACCUCUCAGGCAGUCUCCCAUCAAGUAUUGGCACUUGGCUUCCAAAUCUUGAAGGACUUUAUAUAGGAGCCAAUGAAUUCAGUGGAAAAAUUCCGAUGUCCAUUUCCAAUAUGUCGAAACUUCUCUUCAUGGACAUAAGCAACAACUACUUCAUUGGGAAUUUGCCAAAAGACCUAGGUAACAUGAGACGACUCCAGAUCCUCAACCUUUCAUACAACCAGUUGACUAAUGAACAAUCAGACUCUGAGCUUGCCUUUUUUACAUCAUUGACGAAUUGCAUUUCUUUGAGAAAAUUGCGGAUCGGUGGUAAUCCUUUAAAAGGCAUUAUUCCAAAUUCAUUGGGGAAUCUCUCCAUUUCUAUUGAAAGGAUUGGAGCGAGAAGCUGCCAACUCAGAGGCACCAUCCCUACAGGGGUUAGUAAUCUAACCAACUUGAUUGGUUUAGGACUUGAUGAUAAUGACUUGACAGGGUUGAUUCCAACAUCAUUUGGACGCCUACAGAAGCUCCAGGCGUUGGGUAUUUCUCAAAAUCGAAUACGCGGAUCCAUUCCUAGUGAUCUAUGCCAUUUGACAAACUUGGGAUUCUUGGAUUUGAGUUCGAAUAAACUUUCCGGAACAAUCCCUAGCUGCUUUGGGAAUCUUACUUCACUACGAAGAAUCAAUCUUCACUCCAAUGGACUAGCUUCUGAGAUACCUUCAUCUCUGUGGAUCCUUAGAUAUCUCUUGUUUCUUAACUUGUCUUCAAACUUCCUCAACGGCGAACUACCCUUAGAAGUUGGAAACAUGAAGUCCUUAGAGGAAUUGGACCUAUCAAAGAACCAAUUUUCAGGAAACAUCCCCAGCACUAUAUCACUUCUUCAAAACCUGCUCCAACUUUACCUAUCCCAUAACAAGCUACAAGGUCAUAUUCCCCCCAAUUUUGAUGAUUUGGUGAGCUUGGAAUACUUGGAUCUGUCAGGGAACAAUUUAUCUGGUUUUAUUCCCAAGUCAUUAGAGGCUCUGAAAUAUCUCAAAUACCUGAAUGUUUCUUUCAAUAAACUACAAGGAGAGAUUCCAAACGGAGGACCCUUUGCAAACUUCACUGCUGAAUCUUUCAUCUCCAACCUAGCACUUUGUGGAGCACCUCGGUUUCAAGUCAUGGCAUGUGAGAAAGAUACUAGAAGGAACACAAAAUCACUCCUCUUGAAAUGUAUUGUGCCACUAAGUGUAUCAUUAUCAACAAUAAUACUAGUGGUUCUCUUUGUUUUAUGGAAGCGAAGACAGACUAAGUCAGAAACUCCGGUUCAAGUUGACUUGUUGCUUCCCAGAAUGCAUAGAAUGAUUCUACACCAAGAACUCCUUUAUGCAACCAGCUACUUCGGAGAAGACAAUUUGAUUGGGAAAGGAAGCUUAGGCACGGUAUAUAAAGGGGUAUUAUCCGAUGGGUUGAUUGUUGCUGUGAAGGUUUUCAAUUUGGAAUUGCAGGGAGCUUUCAAGAGUUUUGAGGUAGAAUGUGAAGUAAUGCAGAAUAUUCGCCAUCGAAAUCUUGCCAAGAUAAUUAGUAGUUGCUCCAAUUUGGACUUCAAAGCCUUGGUGCUUGAGUAUAUGCCUAAUGGGAGCUUAGAGAAGUGGUUGUACUCUCACAACUACUACUUGGAUUUUGUCCAACGAUUAAAAAUUAUGAUAGAUGUGGCAUCAGGGUUAGAGUAUCUCCAUCAUGAUUAUUCAAGUCCUGUGGUUCACUGUGACUUGAAGCCCAACAAUGUCUUAUUAGAUGAUGACAUGGUUGCACACAUAAGUGAUUUCGGCAUUGCAAAACUGUUGAUGGGAAGCGAGUUUAUGAAGCGAACCAAAACCUUGGGCACCAUAGGCUAUAUGGCACCAGGUAAAGUUUCCUACCACUUCAACACAUUCUUAUGUCAUUUUUUUCUCUCUCUCAACUAGUUGGUUUUCCAUUUGACCAAGAAGCACUAUUUGGCAUCAAAGUUUUACAUAAUGAACAACUAAUAUUACAUGCAGGGUGUAAGUUAGAGGAUAAGUUAUUGUAAGUAUUCUAGGUUUUUUAAAUUGUUUUCAAUCCUUUGAAAAAUGGAGAGGUGUCAUUGGCUCUUUACAAACGUCUUACAUGAUCAUUUUUGACCUCUUGAUAAUUAAUAUUUUUUAACUAGAAGAUUGUUUUUUAUUAAUUAUUUAUCUUUCUCUAUAUUACUAUUUCUUUGUUCAUUUUACUAAUGGAAACUAAUAUGCAAGCAUGCAGAGUAUGGCUCAGAGGGAAUAGUAUCUACAAAAUGUGAUAUAUAUAGUUUUGGGAUCAUGCUCAUGGAAACUUUUGUGAGGAAGAAGCCUACAGAUGAAAUGUUUAUGGAGGAACUAACCUUGAAGAGUUGGGUGGAGUCAUCAACCAACAACAUAAUGGAGGUUAUAGAUGCCAAUCUCCUGACAGAAGAAGAUGAAAGUUUUGCCUUAAAACAAGCUUGUUUUUCUUCCAUCAUGACAUUAGCUCUGAAUUGUACAGCUGAGCCUCCUGAGAAAAGGAUUAACAUGAAAGAUGUGGUGGUUAGACUCAAGAAGCUCCUGAAUCAAAUUGUUGAUUUAAGGGCUCCAUAAUUAAGAAGAAGGCAUGGAGAUCAUGUCCCUUUCUUCCACCCUGAGCUUAUUUAAGAGUUCACAAAUCAAGAAUUGAGGGACCAUUGGGCAUGGCUUGCCAAGUAGUUGAAAGUUCCUUAUUAUGUCAACUCUAUGCAAAUUAUGCUCAAAUGUUUGUGUAGUUCCAUCCAUUUCCCCCAAUGUAAUUCAGCUUGAAUAAUGCCAUGAGUCUGAAUGCUUUUAUUUCGUAUUUUCCCAUUACCAUAAUAUUAAGUGAAGGUGCCCGGUGAAUAACUUUUGGAAGAACAUUUCAUGCUUUUCUUUUUAAGAUAUGAUAGACUUUAAUAAAUUAUUUGUCUAUGAUUGAUCACUUUAGCAAAUUGCCCGGUCAAAAUUGACCUCUACUUGUAGACAUAUCUUACUUAAUUUCUUAUAACUUGCAAUUACUUUCAGAUUGUGUAUAAUUGGAUUUGACUUAUUUCAAAAUCAUGGCUCGUGAGAAUUAAGAAGUUUGAGAAUUCAUAUUUAAAGUAAUUUGAACGAUAUUUAUCAUGUAAUUUGAGCAAUUUUGGAAAGGUCAACAAUUUUAAUUUUGUGUUUUUAUUUGUGAGAAUUAAGAUCUCAAAUUGGAUAAAGAAUUUAGUAAAAUGUUAAAAAGAAAAAAAUUUAGAAUAGGAAAUAAUUUUUUUUUAAAAUAAUCACCAUGGUAAUGUGGGUGUCACAUAGCACAAUUAACCAUGGUUUUGUUUCUAUAAACAAAAAUUUGUCAUUUCAUCAAAAUAUAUAGUAAUCAACCAAAUUCAUACUUGAAUGAAAAAGCAUGACCUCUAUAUCUAUAUUUAAAGUGAUAUGGAAUGAUAAAUAUUUUGUUCAUGUAUAUAAAAGAAUAUUAAGGUUGGGAAUUCCAAGCACAAGGUUAAGGAAUUAAUUAGUUUGAGUCCAAUUAGAUGUAAAACAAUUUAUUAAAUUGUACGUUAAACAGAUUACAACUUUGAUAAGUGAACUGCACCAUGGUUAGCACUCCGGAUGGGACUACAUUGAAGCCCUUUUUCACCUCCUAGGAUAUCUUUUUCCAAAAAAGGUUGUUGCUCACGAUUUACUUGAUAGACGUUAAGAUCACUCACAGCUCUCACUGGUCUCACUGGUGUAACGGCUGCUGUUUGCUGCUAUACUUCAGAAGUUGUUGCACUUCUAAAGUUAGGUGGUUUGUUACACUUUGUUAGAUUAGUUACACAAUGGAAAAUUCUACGGCACCGAAGUGGGUACCGCAUCUGCAAAAUUCUUGUCCGUUGGAUCAAAAGCUUCCAAUCAAGACUGAAUGCCUUUGCACCACUUAGCUGGACUGCGCCAUCGUAUUGCCUCUUCUUGAAUACGCUUUGCUUGAUCAACUUUUCAGGUUUCUUUCUCGGUUUUGGUAGGACUGCACUGUCGUUGCCCCUACUUGCCCUACAUGACACACUUUUUUCCAAGGAGGUGGUUUCCCGCCAAUUUCUUUCUUCUUAAAUACACCAUUAGAUCGUGAUAUGCGGACAGCUCUAUAUGCAAAUUGAGUUUUGUCUCCUGUGGAAUGUGGAAUGUGGACUACAGCACCGUGAUAACCCACUCUUCACUGCACCAGGCUUGACCCGAGGUUAGCUCUUUUGUCCUUUUGGAAAACUGCACCGCAGCUGUCCCUUCUUGACCGGCUCAACCCACUUCUCCAAGAGAGGUUGAGGGUGUCUUGUCCCUUUGGGGAUCACCACACAGAGUUUACCCACCAAUUAUUUUCUUCAUUCUUCGUACAUUUCUCCAAUUGCAUUAUGAAAUGCAAAUGCUUGUUGCAUUGUUUUGAGUGUGUCCAGCUACAGACAGUUGCAGCAGCUCUGGUCAUAAUCCAUGCUUUCAGUGAUGUGUAGGAAAUAUCAGACUUUAUGUUCGAAGUGUCAUGCAGAAAAUGACACUUGAAUUAUAAUUUUUAUGGGAGUUAGAAAAGUCUUGCUUCUUUGAUGAUUAUCCAAAGAUUCAAUCAUGAAAUGCAGAAAAUGUAAACUUUAUGUAUAUAGGUUUGGAACUUAUUUCUUUAGAAAAUGUAAAUCUUUAUGUAUAUAUGAAUCUUGAACAAUCCCUAAUUUCGCACCCAUAUUAAUGGUUUGCAUAUCCCAUUCAUAUGUAUUACAACCAUCUACUAUAUAUAUCACAUUCAAAUAAAAGUAUGCUUAUAGAAUUGAUAUUGAAUACUCGAUCAAAUUAAUAUUCCAUUACUUAGAUCAAAACUCAACGGCAAAAACAAUGAAGGAUAGAAAAGCUCUUCAUGUAUAUAGGUUUGGAGCUUAUUUAUUUCUUCAUCGGCGGAUUUCUGAAGGGCAGCUUUUUGAAAAAAUUUCAAGUCUUUCACUAAUCCUCUUUUUCCACAAGUAAUGUCACAUUCCACAAGUAUUUCUAUAUGCUUCUUCAAUAUAUUUGAGAGAGAAGUUAUAUACAAAUUAUCACACACUCUCUCUAUUUGAAUUGAUUGAAUAAAGUGGACCAAAAAAAGUAUCAUUUUCCUUUCUAAAUUGAUAUAACCAAUAGUAAAGUGUCACUCUAAUGAAAUGAUAAAUCAUUUGUUAUGAUGUGAUAUACAUAUGAAAUGAUAAAUCUUUUGUUCAAAUAUAAAUUAGGUUGUUUUGUUUGAAUUAACAAUUUUGUUCUAUUCAUCUUGUCUGAGCAAUUGUUUACUUGACUUUCCUUACUCUCUAUUGAAGAUUCAAAAUUGUUGUCAUCAACCCAAAAUUAAACAGGUAUAGAGAGAUUCAAGAAAGGCUAAUUAGGAUAAAUUAUGAGAUAAAAUUGGCUUUAAGUUUUUAAUUAAGCUAAAAUAUUUUUAAUUAGAUUAUUAAAAACUGGACCAACACUCAAACCUAGUGCUCAAGCACUUUAAGAACACCCAAGCGUUUGAAGCAAAAUUUUCCAAAAUUGAAUUCCUUAUUUUGCUUUCAUUAUAGGUGUUUGCUCACUAAGGUUUCAUCUCUAUAUAAAUACUGUGCCUAAAAAUCAUUUUGGUUAUUGAUGCAAAUUUCAUAAAAAGAUUAUUAGCCUUUACUACAUCCCAAUACUCCCAUAUUUUUGUGAUUCUCAUUCUUUGGGUUGGUGAGAAAGAUCUUCAUCUCUUCAGGUGUUAAGGUAGUCCACUUGGUGCAGAUAUGAUGUUGCAUUUUGGACUUGAAAACUAGUAUAUAUAUUGGAAAUUAAAACUUAGGGAGAACAUCUGCCAUGUAAAUUUGUAUACUUUUCUUUUAAUAGUGGGCUUUUGCUUUAUAGUCUCUUGCCAUGUGAUUUUUUUUACAUUUAUAUGGUAUUUGGGAGAUUUUAUGGGUGGUUUUUCAUGUAAAAUUUGUUGGUUUCUCUUUUUUUUUUUUCUUUCUAAUUAUUAAAUAGGAAUUAAAAACAAAAAAUUGUAUUAAAAAGAAGAUAAUACGAAUUACCCCCUUAGGUAUUUCGUAAUUGAAAUAUACAAAUUUUUAGAAUGUCAUACAUUUAACAUAUAAAAUGUGGAGAAGAUUUCUAGUGUAUAAUUAAUAUAGAGAAUUCCAAGCAUAAGGUUCACGGAUUUAGAUUGAGUGCAAUCAUCUUGAGUUGUAAUUAUAUCAAAGUUGUUAAAGCAAUCUAUUAAAUUAAUUAUUAAAUAGGUCACAAUCUUCUAAACAAGAAGUAGCAUAGGAAAGAGAUUGCCAAGUCAAUAACCAAUGCUUUUGGACCACUUAGAAAGUUCCAUGGUUGUCACUCUGGGUGGGACUGCACUUGAAGCCCUUUUCUACUUCCUCACCCACUUCUUCCAAGAAGUUUGCUACCCACCGAUUACUCUCCCUUCCUUAACCCUUGUUUUGUUGAACCACAUCCUCUCCUUCAACAUUUAUCAACGACUUUUUUUUCUUGUUCUUGUUAGAUUAAUUUUUGUAAUUAAUCUAUAAUUUGGGCCACACAUGUAAAUAAUUAAAAUAUGUGUGCUAUCAUUUAAUUAAGCCUAAAUAUAGUGAUCUAAUUAAUAAUUGAUUAAUUGGCUUAAGGGUAUAAUUGUCAUGAGAUUAUUGUGUAGAUACCAUUAGACAAUUAUUAUUUCUAUGAGGGGCAGAAAUAUAAUUGUGAUAAAAUUAAAACUGCCCUAGCGGUUUAUAAAUAGGGUUAUGGUCCCCAUUCUACGACUACGCAUUCCAAUUUCUGAAAAUCCUCUCAGAGAGAAAUUGACACAGAAUCUAGUGGCUUGAAUUGGAAGACCAUCGCAAAGGGUUUUCUUCUUAUAAGGUUUCUCCUUCAAUGGAUUCAGGUAUGCUUCCGCUAUUAUUUUUCUACUCAUUGUUUUUAAUCAGGAGAUUCCAGUAUAUAUGAAAUUAUGGUAUUCACCUUGUUAAAUAUUCCAGUAUAUAUGAAGUUAGGGUAUUCACCUUGUUAAAUAUUCCAGUAUAUAUGAAAUUAGGGUAUUCAUCUUGGUUGAGAUACAACAAGUGGUAUCAGAGCCUACUCCUUGAUUAAUUCUUUGAGUUAUUAUUUUAAUAUAUAUAUAUAUAUAUAUAUAUAUAUAUAUAUAUAUAUAUAUAUAUAUAUAUAUAUAUAUAUAUAUAUAUAUAUAUAUAUAUGUCAAUGGAUUAAGAUUUAUGAAAUAUUGAGUUGAUAAUUUUUUUUAUUACUAUUAUUAUUAUUAUUAUUAUUAUUAUUAUUAUUAUUAUUAUUUAAUAAUUUUCUUAUAUUUAAUUUUACUAUGAAAAAUAUGAAAAAAAAUCAAAUAUAAUUAAUUAAAACUUAUCUAUUUUAAAAUUAUUUAAUCUUUAUAUAAAUGAAUUAAAACAAGUGAAAUAUAUUUAAAUCAACGAAACCAAUCUUGUUCUUCGCUGUUAAUGCCAUGGCCAUAGCUCUACUCCAUGUGUUGUAAUUGCUCUCAGUUAAGUGGUGUGAGACAAGGAUGAGUUCGGGAUGAUCACCAUUGUGAAGAAAAAAAGGGCUACUUACAUCUUCCAUUGUUGACACUUCAAAUGAUCUAAUCAUAGCUCGUUUAUUGGGUUGAUUACCUCGAGCCAUGAAAAAAAAUAAAAAAUAAAAAAUCAGAGAAUGAGCAUAAGGAAUUGCUCUGAUAUCAUAUUGCUGGUUUUACCAAAAGGAAGGAAUCAAAGGGAGAGAAAACAAAGUGAAUGCACUGAUUCUUUGAUCCUCAACCUCUCAACAGAAUAAAACCAAAAAGCUAGUUUAUAUGGGAGCCAGAGUAACAAACUGUAACCAACUCUCAGCUAUGAAAAAGAAAAAAAAAACAAACAAAGAAAAAUAACAAUCAAAGGGUAAUAAUCAAAGGUACUACCAGCCCUUAUUACAGAAAUGCCAAUAUGCUCUAAUAUUUAACAUCUCUUCUUUACUCAACAUUAGUCUGUCCUACAAAAGCCUCUCUGGGAGUCUUCCCAUGAAUAUAUGCAACACCAAUCCAAAGCUCAAGGAGCUUAAUCUUUCGUCAAAUCAUUUGAGUGGACAGAUCCCUAUUGGUUUAGGUCAAUGUAUAAAACUUCAAGUAAUUUCCUUAUCAUAUAAUGAAUUCACGGGAAGCAUACCAAGAGGAAUUGGUGAAUUGGUGGAGCUUCAGAGAUUCUCUCCAGAAUAACAGUUUGACAGGUACACUUUUUCUUUUCUUUUUUAUUUUUCCUUUUUAUUCUUUCACUUUCCCUCAAGCUUUCAAAGAUGUAAGCAUAACGUUAAUGUUUUUCCAACCAACUCAUUUUAAUUGUGUUACAGGAGAAAUACCUCAUUCUCUGUUCAACAUCUCUAGGCUUAAGUUUUUGAAUCUGGCAGUAAAUAACCUAAAAGGUGAAAUCCCCUCCACUUUGCCAUCUAGAGCUCCAAGUUUUAGCAUUAUCAUUUAAUCAAUUCACUGGAUGCAUUCCAGAAGGCAUAGGGAGUUUAUCUAAUCUUGAACAUAACAAAAUGGCAGGUGGAAUUCCUAAGGAGAUGGGGAAUCUUUGUAAUUUAAAUAUUUUGAGCCUAAAGUCUAGUGGACUAAGUGGUCCUAUUCCUGCCGAAAUUUUCAAGAUCUCUUCAUUGGAAAAGAUGUAUUUCCAAUGGAUAUUUGCAAACAUCUUCCUAAUCUCCAAGGGCCCUAUCUUGAUGGGAAUCAGCUCAGUGGUCAACUUCCUGCAACUCUGUCCUUAUGUGGAGAGCUUUUGUCACUAUCACUAUUUUACAACAAAUUCGCAGGAAGCAUACCAAGAGAAAUUGGCAACUUAUCCAAGCUUGAAUAUAUUAAUCUCAGAAGGAAUAGCUUCGCAGGUAGCAUUCCACCUUCAUUUGGUAAUAUCCCCAAGGAGUUGGGGAAUCUCAUCAACUUACAAUUCUUGGAUCUUUGCGACAACAAUUUAAUGGGGAUAGUACCAGAAGCUAUUUUUAACAUCUCUAAGCUGCAGAUCCUUUCGCUGGUACUAAAUCACCUUUCAGGCAGUCUCCCAUCAGGUAUUGGCACUUGGCUCCCGGAUCUUGAAGGGCUUUAUAUAGGUGCCAAUCAAUUUAGUGGAAUAAUUCCAUUGUCUAUUUCAAAUGUCAAAGCUAACAAUCCUAAGCAUGAGCAAUAACUUCUUCACUGGAUAUGUGCCAAAGGAUCUAGGUAACUUGAGACGACUCCAGUGGCUCCACCUUUCAGGAAACCAAUUGACUGAUGAACACUCAACCUCUGAGCUUGCCUUUCUUACAUCAUUAACGAAUUGCAACUCUUUGAGAAAAUUGUGGAUCAGUGGUAAUCCUUUAAAAGGCAUUAUUCCAAAUUCAUUAGGGAAUCUCUCAAUUUCUUGAAAGUAUUUACGCGGGUGACUGCCAACUCAGAGGCACAAUCCCUACAGGGAUUAGAAUUUGAUCAACUUGAUUGAUUUGACACUCAAUGAUAAUGACUUGAUAGGGUUCAUUCCAACAUCAUCUGGACUCCUACAGAAGCUGCAGUUUUUAGCUAUCCCUGGAAAUCGAAUACACGGAUCCAUUCCUCGUGGUCUAUGCCAUUUGACAAACUUGGGAUACUUGGAUUUGAGUUCGAAUAAACUUCCUGGAACAAUCCCUAGCUACUUUGGGAAUCUUACUAGACUGCGGAACAUCUACUCCAGUGGACUAGCUCCUGAGAUACCUUCAUCUCUGUGGACCCUUAGAGAUCACUUGAUUCUUAACUUGUCUUCAAACUUCCUCAACAGCCAACUACCCCUGGAAGUUGGGAACAUGAAGUCCUUACUGGUAUUGGACCUGUCAAAGAACCAAUUUUCAGGAAACAUCCCAAGCACCAUAUCACUUCUUCAAAACCUGCUCCAACUUUUCCUAUCCCAUAACAAGCUACAAGGUCAUAUGCCCCCCAAUCUUGGUGAUUUGGUGAGCUUGGAAUAACUGGAUCUGUCUGGGAACAAUUUAUCUGGUUCUAUUCCCAAGUCACUAGAGGCUCUGAAAUAUCUCAAAUACCUAAAUGUUUCUUUCAAUAAAGUACAAGGAGAGAUUCCAAACGGAGGACCCUUUGCAAACUUCACUGCUGAAUCUUUCAUCUCCAACCUAGCACUUUGUGGAGCACCUCGAUUUCAAGUCAUGGUACUUGAGAAAGAUACUAGAAGGAACACAAAAUCACUCCUCUUGAAAUGUAUUGUCCCUCUGAGUGUAUCAUUAUCAGCAAUAAUAUUAGUGAUUCUCUUUAUUCUAUGGAAGCGAAGACACACCAAGUCAGGAACUCCGGUUCAAGUUGAUUUGCCGCUUCCCAGAAUGCAUAGAAUGAUUCCACAUCAAGAACUCCUUUAUGCAACCAGCUACUUUGGUGAAGACAAUUUGAUUGGAAAAGGAAGCUUAGGAAUGGUAUAUAAAGGGGUACUAUCCGAUGGGUUGAUUGUUGCUGUGAAGGUUUUCAAUUUGGAAUUGCAGGGAGCUUUCAAGAGUUUUGAGGUAGAAUGUGAAGUAAUGCGGAAUAUUCGCCAUCGAAAUCUUGCCAAGAUAAUUAGUAGUUGCUCCAACUUGGACUUCAAAGCGUUGGUGCUUGAGUAUAUGCCUAAUGGGAGCUUAGAGAAGUGGUUGUACUCUCACAAAUACUACUUGGAUUUUGUCCAACGAUUAAAAAUUAUGAUAGAUGUGGCAUCAGGGUUGGAGUAUCUCCAUCAUGAUUACUCAAAUCCUGUGGUUCACUGUGACUUGAAGCCCAGCAAUGUCUUGUUAGAUGAUGACAUGGUUGCACACAUAAGUGAUUUCGGCAUUGCAAAACUGUUGAUUGGAAAUGAGUUUAUGAAGCGAACCAAAACCUUGGGCACCAUAGGCUAUAUGGCACCAGGUAAAGUUUCCUACAACUUCAACACAUUCUUAUGCCAUUUCUUUUCUCUCUCAACUAGCUGGUUUUCCAUAAUGAACAA
rnacentral:lncRNA from 1 species